AGAGUUUGAUCCUGGCUCAGAACGAACGCUGGCGGCGCGCCUAAUACAUGCAAGUCGAGCGAGAAGGUGUAGCAAUACACUUGUAAAGCGGCGAACGGGUGAGGAAUACAUGGGUAAUCUACCAUCGAGUGGGGAAUAACCAGCCGAAAGGUUGGCUAAUACCGCGUACGCCUCCGGAUCUUCGGGUUCGGAGGGGAAGCCACACUGUGAGUGCGGCGCUCUUUGAUGAGCUCAUGUCCUAUCAGCUUGUUGGUAGGGUAACGGCCUACCAAGGCUUUGACGGGUAGCUGGUCUGAGAGGACGAUCAGCCACACUGGCACUGCGACACGGGCCAGACUCCUACGGGAGGCAGCAGUAAGGAAUAUUGCGCAAUGGGCGAAAGCCUGACGCAGCGACGCCGCGUGGGGGAUGAAGGUCUUCGGAUUGUAAACCCCUUUCGGGAGGGAAGAUGGAACGAGCAAUCGUUCGGACGGUACCUCCAGAAGCAGCCACGGCCAACUUCGUGCCAGCAGCCGCGGUAAUACGAAGGUGGCAAGCGUUGUUCGAAUUCACUGGGCGUACAGGGUGUGUAGGCGGUUUGGUAAGCCUUCUGUUAAAGCUUCGGGCCCAACCCGGAAAGCGCAGAGGGUACUGCCAGGCUAGAGGGUGGGAGAGGAGCGCGGAAUUCCCGGUGUAGCGGUGAAAUGCGUAGAGAUCGGGAGGAAGGCCGGUGGCGAAGGCGGCGCUCUGGAACAUACCUGACGCUGAGACACGAAAGCGUGGGGAGCAAACAGGAUUAGAUACCCUGGUAGUCCACGCCCUAAAUUAUGGAUACUAAGUGUCGGCGGGUUACCGCCGGUGCCGCAGCUAACGCAUUAAGUAUCCCGCCUGGGAAGUACGGCCGCAAGGUUGAAACUCAAAUGAAUUGACGG
rnacentral:rRNA from 1 species